rnacentral:rRNA from 1 species
AGCGAACGCUGGCGGCAGGCCUAAUACAUGCAAGUCGAGCGCCCUUUCGGGGGAGCGGCGGACGGGUGAGUAACGCGUGGGAACGUGCCCUUUGGUACGGAACAACUGAGGGAAACUUCAGCUAAUACCGUAUGUGCCCUAUGGGGGAAAGAUUUAUCGCCAUUGGAGCGGCCCGCGUUAGAUUAGCUAGUUGGUAGGGUAAUGGCCUACCAAGGCGACGAUCUAUAGCUGGUCUGAGAGGAUGAUCAGCCAAACUGGGACUGAGACACGGCCCAGACUCCUACGGGAGGCAGCAGUAGGGAAUCUUGCGCAAUGGGCGAAAGCCUGACGCAGCCAUGCCGCGUGAAUGAUGAAGGUCUUAGGAUUGUAAAAUUCUUUCACCGGGGACGAUAAUGACGGUACCCGGAGAAGAAGCCCCGGCUAACUUCGUGCCAGCCGCCGCCGUAACAC